ensembl:antisense Mecomos MDS1 and EVI1 complex locus, opposite strand
GAGAAGGCGGCAGCCAGCCGGGCUGACCCACCCGAGGCGGCGGAGUCCCAGCGACCAGGGACGCUCCGGGGGCACGGGGACCUCAGCGCAAACCCGGGACGCAGACGCUGUCCCCAGCGACACCCUGCCCACAGCCAAGACUUUUUAAAGUGAGUUCGCUUACCUUCCGAUUUCUACGGCCUCAACUCAGCAAUCAAAAGCAAUCACAGCAGAAUUAAACAAAAAUAAGAUCAGCAGCAGCCAGUUGACCAAUACGGUGCUGCAGAAAGGAAGAAAGAAAAGAAAGGGAAAAAAGAGAAAAGAAAAGGAGAGAGAAAAAAAGAAAAGACAGACAGACAGAAAGGAAAUUAAAGGUUUAAAAAAAAAAAAGAUCUACUGCCCAACCUUCUGCAGGACCUUGUCAUUGAAAUGCAGACCUAUCCCAGUGUGAGGGAAUCGUAUGAAGCACUAAACCUGGAGAUUAUGGAGUAUCCAACAGAAGCUAGAUUGGGAGAAAGCAGCUGAACAGCGCAAGACAAGGUCAGUUCUGUCUCCUUUCCUUUCCAAGCUGACACCUGGUACUUAACAUUGAACACAAGAAUAUGUUGCCUCCUAGGAAUUACGCCAGCACCCGGGCAAACAACCACUGACGCCCAUUCCUUACAAAGUGAAGCCCAACUCUUCACAGGGCAAAACAGGUAGGAAACACCAUUUUAAUACUCAGGCAUUAAGAACAGGCAGACGGUCUUUUCUUUUGCAUCAUCUUUAAUGGCUAGACGAAACAUUUCAAGUCUGAGCUGUAGGACUUGUAUAUUCUAAUCCCGAGUCCGUGAUUUCUUUCUAUCUCUAGUGUCUUUAUUAUUUUACAGACAUCCUCCUCACCCAUAACAGAUUCUCAAACUACCUCCACUCACUCACACUCCCUUCCCCAUGCGAGAUUUUUGAUUCAACCCAGGGCAUAUGGAUAAAUAAAAUAGGUUAUGUAGACCAAAUGUGUGUGCUAGUAUCCCAAAGAAAAUGAUAACUAUUCUUUGAAAUACAUAUAACUGCGCCUUUCAUGGGGAUGCUAAUGUUCAGACACUGGACACCUCUUGCUGUCCACUGUGUCGAAGACAUUCCCAUUAGUCAGAUUUAUUCAUUAAAUUACAGUUUUCUAAAUGGCAUGAGAAUUUCAGUUUGGGAUAUACUAUGCCUACAUUACUAAUUUAGUGCUUAUUAUUUAUAAACAUAAAUACAUUCAGACAUUAAGAAAAUCAAUAAGGAUAAUAAAAAAAAACCCUCUGGCAUCUACUUGGAAAAAUACAAUAGUAUUAAAAGAGUCCACCUUUUCAGAAAGUUUUGAAAGUUAUCUGUACAUUGUUGCUUUGUUACUGUUGUUACUUCUACCUCUCUUGUGUCAUCCAUGCCUUUCCUCACAGCCUACAUUUAAACAUCUCCUCCAGACCACAGAAGGCCUUUACUCUGAAAUAACCCUUUAGACUCGAAUGCCAAAGCUACUGUGCAGAAAGCAAGGAAACCCUACCCUUCCAUUCUCUAUGUGAAUGUGUAAGAGAGAUUUUAGGAAUGGCAAAGCCAGUCAACAAGGAACGGUUGAACUCAAGUCCUCUGAAAUCGCUGUGGUGUGUGUGAUCCCAGGGCUGCAGUGUUUGCUUACAAAGACUGUGGCUGACCAGACACAGUACAGAUGAAAUGCCGUCAAACAACUCCUUGACCUCUGAAACAAUAGGUGGGGCCUGCUUGAAUCAUAAAACUAACAGAGUCAACAAUUAAACACGGUUGUAACAAUGAGGGUGUCUCCAUAUUGGGCCACCAAAAGUGCUUGAAAGAACAGAAUUGCUUUACAAUAAACUGGCGAGGAGGUUGAUGCUCCACACCUUCAUGGACAGAUAAAGACACUGACUGCAGCCAUGACAAACAAUGCUCCACAGAAAUGCGCUGCUUUCCCUUUUUCUCAGCAAUCUCUUCCAGCUCAAGCCAUUAAGGGACGCAUUUGAAAGCAGGGCACUCUAGAUUUCUCUCCACUGAGCCCGAUCGGGCUCUCUUUUACCACUAGCUGACCAAGGAGCCACACAAUUGUGAUGGGUAGUGUGGUGGCUUCUGGUCCCACCUCCUACCCCAGGACUCUGUCUCUAGUCUCUCGCCAUCCUGCACAGAACUAGCCCUGUGAGUUGUCUCUGCUGAGGUGACUUGCUGGUCACAUGAUCAACUCUGACUCACAAUACUGAAGAAAAGAGGGAACUUGGGAGCCAGUUUGUUAUUUGGCUUAAGGAAUUCUCUUUGAUUUUUCUAGUUUUGCCAUGGCGUAGAACUAAUAACAUAGCCAGAGGAAGAGGGCAGCUAGUUACUUCGCUCUUCUUCUACCUAUAGUGCUUUCAGCCUUGGGUCGAAGCAUAUUCCCACUAGGAAAAGGAUUUGUGUAGUGGUUUACAAAGCCUUUCUAUGCUGAGGUUUGUCAAGGUAGAUAAACUUUCAAUUCAUCCAAUUGUUCUAAUUAGAAUUGGUUAGCAUUCAGUGAAAAGGCUUUACAAGUUCAAUGUCAAUAUUAAUAUAACUUCAUACACAUGGGCAUGUGUAUGUGCUUGUGAGCACAUGUCCAUGCCAGUGUCUAUGUAGCAAAAGUUUUUUUUUCCAUUUUUUCCCUUUUAUUGUAUAUUUUCUUUAUUUACAUUUCAAAUGUUAUCCCCUUUCUCCAGUCUCCCCUACUGAAACCCCCAUCCUAUCCCCCCUCCCCCUGCCUCUAUGAGGGUGCUCCCCCAACCACCUACUCACUCCCACCUUCCCACCCUGCAUUCCCCUACACUGGGGCAUCGAACCCCCUCAGGCCCAAGGGCCACUCCUCCCACUGAUGUCCAACAAGNNNNNNNNNNNNNNNNNNNNNNNNNNNNNNNNNNNGGGGAGGUCUAGCCAGUUGACACUGUUAUAGCAAAAGUUUUAAUCAAAGAGAUUCCAAGAAUUUAUUUUAAAAAAUACAAAAACGGGUGUUGUGUUACCAAUGCUUUUAAGUAUAUUUCAAGUCUUAAAAGAAGUAAGUAGAUUCAAAUUAUUCUGAGAGUAAAACUAAGAACAGGAAUUGUAGCCAUAGCAGGCGACUACAGUUAUGAGCACUCGCUCACUGUGAGGAGACAAUGUGCUAUUUUGACACAAAACUAUUGAGGGAGUCCCCAAAUCUAACACGGGAUCAUUGUGGUGUUGCAAUAGCCACUUUGUUAUGGCCACUUGAUACCUAAGGGAGUGAAAAUGAGAGAGAGGUGGGCAGUGUCACUUAGACACUUAGACAGGUAAGAUGGCUCCUGACUAGAGUCCCAAGCUACUCACUGUAUCCCCAUACAGUUAUCUGAACCUAUGCUGCUUAGUAGGGAGGCUACCAGCUGCAUGUGGCUAUUUGAAUAGAAACAUUAAUUAAGAUGAAAAUGAGCUUCUCAGUCCCACAAGCCACAUGUGGCCAGGACCUACUGUUAAAGACCCUUAUCUGCAACACAGGUACAAAAUGGUUCUGUCUCUGCUGUAGUCCUAUUGGUCAGUAUUUACUGAGAACUGGCCAGAAUGGGUUUCUUAGCCUCACACACCAGCUACUAAUUAAGGGAGUGGAUUGAUUAGAGUCAACAAAAGUGUUAGCAUGGGGCUGGGGAGAUGGCUCAGAAUAUUUACUGUACCAGUAUUAGGACCUCAGUUUAGCGCCUCAGGACCACUGUAGACAAUGGGCAGGAGCAUGGCACUAGUCACCUGUUACCCUAGGCCUGGUGGGAGGAGAGUUCACAAGGGUAGACAGAUCCUAGGGGUUAUCUGGCUACCUAAAUGGCAAGCUGCUGAUUCAAUGAGAGGACCUGCCCAUAAACAAACAAAUGAAGAAAUAAAUAAAUGGAGCAAAGGAAGACAUCUCAUGUGUAAUUCUGGCUUCUGUGUGUAAGUGUGUGUGUGUGUGUGUGUGUGUGUGUGUACACGCAUGCACACACUGGAUCACACCUGCAUAAACAUGAGCAUAUAUAUGUGCAAAUACCAUAUACAUGCAGCUAUUUUUUUAAUUUAUUUUUCAAUUCUUCCUCAAAAUUUAAUCCAUUUUCCUCUCCUCUUCAGGAUAAGGUGAGGAUUCAAAAAGCAUCCCAGAUACCCUAUCUCAGAGAGACCAGGUGGAAAUGUGACCCUAGCUGUGUCUGCAUCUAUCAUGUGAGAAGCAGUUGGUGCACUGAGAAAAGGCAGGAUUAAAACUCAGGGAAGGAUAAUGCUGGAGGUCCCAGAUCUAGAUCCCUGCAUCUGUGAACUAGGUACAUGAAGUGAUCUACUUGAGACUCGAUUUCAUUUCUAGGUAAGACAAUGUGAUCUUACACAUCUGUGUAAGAUGGUCUUAGGUUGGGGAUCCUAAGAAUCAAAUAAAUAGUAAGAAACAUGUGUCAUUUUUUGCUUGGGGAUAUAUAUAUAUAUGAAAUGAAGACAGUGGGAAGAGAGUCCAGGUGCCAGAAGUGCUGAAACAGUGCCUACACAGUUAUAUGCUCACAGGCCAGAGAUGCUAGAACAAUGCCCACACAUUUAAACACUCACAGGGCAGAGGUGCUUACAAUUCAUUAUCAUAAAGCAUCCCUAGCUAAAAGGCAUUUGGCAGGUUGCAAUACAAAACACAGCUUCUAAGGGUAGCCAUGAGUAUUAAAUGUCUACAUCCUUUAAACAACUGUAUCUAGAACUUUUUUUUCUUCCAAAAGACCAUUACUACACUCCUCUUCCCAGUGUUGUUUUCACAGACCUAAGAAGCAGAUUCUCAGAGCUUAUUCUCGAAUGUUCUAAGGUGACACAUCUCAUGUUAAGUUUAGAAAUCUGUGCUUUGAAACUGUAUCCCUGUUUGCAUGUGUGAGGUCCAGGGAUCACGGUUUGAAACAUAAUAUAUGAGAGAUCCAAGAUGCUUGAAACAGCAAAGUCAGCUGUGAGUCUACAUCUGCAGGAACUCUAUCAACCUUACUUCUGUGAGAAUAAACCAAGAACUCAUGAGAGCGGGUAAGAUAGCCUUACCCACUCCAUAGUAGGAGACUCAUGGGUUUCAGGAUAACCUCAGCUCCAUAGCAAAAUUGAGACCAAGCUGAUGUACACAAGAUCCUGUCUCAAAAUACUAAAACAAAAUUUCAAAAGAUAUCGAUCCUCUUAAACACCUAAGAUAUAGCUAUUGCUAUUUACUCACUUUUCCCCAUAGGGAACAUUAACUGUGUUUGUCAUCUCAGCUAUCACUGUGGCAGGAGAAGGAGUCAGGGUACAACUUAACUAAGAGCAUUUCCUUCACCACAGGUGCUGGGCCAAACUGAAACACAAACGAAAGACCAUUCACGGAAGACGCAGUUUGGAGAUGGUGUCAACUCAUGCACUGGAAGUUGUUGAAGUGAUUUGUUUAUUAAUGGCUUUCUUUAGGUUUUCUCUGGGACAGUUAUAAGAGAAAGACGGAUUUGAACACCAGAGAUUCUCUCUG